rnacentral:misc_RNA from 1 species
GAUGAAGAACGUAGCGAAAUGCGAUAAGUAAUGUGAAUUGCAGAAUUCAGUGAAUCAUCGAAUCUUUGAACGCACAUUGCGCCCGCCAGUAUUCUGGCGGGUAUGCCUGUUCGAGCGUCAUUACAACCCUCAGGCCCCCGGGCCUGGCGUUGGGGAUCGGCGGAGCCCCCCGUGGGCACACGCCGUCCCCCAAAUACAGUGGCGGUCCCGCCGCAGCUUCCAUCGCGUAGUAGCUAACACCUCGCGACUGGAGAGCGGCGCGGCCACGCCGUAAAACACCCAACUCUUCUGAAGUUGACCUCGAAUCAGGUAGGAAUACCCGCUGAACUUAAGCAUAUCAAUAAGCGGAGGA